GGGGGAGAGCGCUCCGGUCGCCAUCCCCGAGGAGCGAAGAGAGGCACAAGAAAGGUGCUAGACGCGCGUUUCCACGCUAGCCCGCCGAGUGCUGGCGCGUCUCUGCCAAAGCGACGGGAGAGGGCGGCGCGAGUCCGGGGAGCUCACGCUGCGGCCCCCGCUCGCUGAGGUGCGCCGUCCCUCGGCCUUCACCCUGGCGAUGCGGCGCUGUUGAAGAGCCCCGCCGAGACUGCAACUCCCGGCGUGCAGCGCGCCCAGCGCCGCGCUUGCGCACCAAGGCCUGGUGGGGUGGGGCCGGCCGCUGCCGCUGCCUCGCGGCCCCAUCGGCGUUCCGGAGCGGUCGUUCAGUCAGGGCUGGAAGCGGAGGUGAUAGCGGGGAGCCGUGACCAGAGCCGCCCGGCGGCCGUUCGUUUCGGUCACAGCGGUUCUAACCGCCACCGACCCCGGCGCGGCCCAGACAGGCGGCCCUCCCGCGCUCUGCCGUGCCCCGAGGCGCUGAGGGCCCCGCGCCGGGACGGCCGCCGAACUCAGCGGGCUGUGCCGUCACCUCAGGAUCCGGGGCGAGAGAAAUCGGGAAAUCAGACAGAGGAAGAGUUUUGGAGUUAAUCUGCAUUAAUGAGCCCAGAUCGAGACAUAAAUAGAGCUGGCGCACGUAACCUUUCAUGUGAUGAGUUGAAAACACAAUCAUAGAUUUUUUUUUUCCUAUGAGUUAUUCAUAAACUUGCAUAAAUGCAUUAAAUCUGCAUAGUACCAUAGGGUGAAGUCUUUAUCUGCGGCCCCGUGAGGCAUGCACAGCCCGACGAGCCCUCAGAGAGACAUUUCUGCUCGUCCCCAGCGUUCCUGAGGAGGGAUUUGCUUUUUCUUUGUGGUAAACUCCUAGUAUGGAAUCAUUCCUCAGUAACAUGCAGUUAGACACAAUUCCAUCUGCAUCCUCACCAUCUUUGUACUUUGUAUAGUUCUAUAAGAGAGACACAACUACAUUGUACCUCUAGCACAUGGCUCCUGCCUGUACCUGAGUCCCUCAGGAAGGUUCCCCCACAGAGUGCUGGGGAACAAAACGGCUCUCCCUGCCUGUUCCCUCUCCCGUCCUUUGGUGGGAGAUCGGUGGUGAUGAGGAAUGGAUGCUGAAAGCAGUGACUCCAGAAGUACCAACCACCAACAACGUGAGUCAACUGGAGGCCCCACAUCACAGAAUGUAGCCAGAGCAAACCACGGACUUCAUUUUCUGUGGCGGAGACAGUUUUUGUCACAGUGCUGUGCUCAGUGACCCAGAUAAAGUCUGUUCCCUCUCGUGGAGCUGAGCUUCCAGAAAACUCUGUUCUCUCAGAAUGUUAAAGAAACACUUACAGACAAG
rnacentral:lncRNA from 1 species